UUCCUAGUGGUCCAGUGGUUAAGACUCUGUGCUUCUAGUACAGGGGUUCUGGUUCAAUCCCUGGUCAGGGAA
rnacentral:tRNA from 1 species